UACGGAAGGCAGCAGUGGGGAAUAUUGCACAAUGGGCGAAAGCCUGAUGCAGCUAUGCCGCGUGUAUGAAGAAGGCCUUAGGGUUGUAAAGUACUUUCAUCGGGGAGGAAAAACAAAACUAAUAAUUUUAUUUCUUGACGUUACCCGAAAAAGAAGCACCGGCUAACUCCGUGCCAGCAGCCGCGGUAAUACGGAGGGUGCUAGCGUUAAUCAGAAUUACUGGGCGUAAAGAGCACGUAGGUGGUUUUUUUAAGUCAGAUGUGAAAUCCCUGGGCUUAACCUAGGAACUGCAUUUUGAAACUGAAAUACUAGAGUAUCGUAGAGGGAGGUAGAAUUCUAGGUGUAGCGGUGAAAUGCGUAGAUAUCUGGAGGAAUACCUGUGGCGAAAGCGGCCUCCUAAACGAAUACUGACACUGAGGUGCGAAAGCGUGGGGAGCAAACAGGGAUUAGUACC
rnacentral:rRNA from 1 species